UCCUGGAAUAGCUCAGUUGGUAUAGCAUGAGGCUCUUAAUCUCAGGGUUGUGGGUUCAAGCCUCACGCUUGGCAA